rnacentral:rRNA from 1 species
UACGUAGGUCCCGAGCGUUGUCCGGAUUUAUUGGGCGUAAAGCGAGCGCAGGUGGUUUAUUAAGUCUGGUGUAAAAGGCAGUGGCUCAACCAUUGUAUGCAUUGGAAACUGGUAGACUUGAGUGCAGGAGAGGAGAGUGGAAUUCCAUGUGUAGCGGUGAAAUGCGUAGAUAUAUGGAGGAACACCGGUGGCGAAAGCGGCUCUCCGGCCUGUAACUGACACCGAGGCUCGAAAGCGUGGGGAGCAAACAGG